AUUCCAGUGCCACAUCUUCCUCUAUGCACAUGUUUCUCUUGCUGGAAACUCUUUAAGAUGAAAUUUCUUUACUCAAGAAUUUUAAAAUGAAACAAAUGAACUAAAGACUGCUGAAUCUUAUGGCAAAGACAGUGAAUAUUCUGAAGAUGUCAUCGUAUUCAUUGGAAAAGACGACUUACAAAAAUUUCGGCAAAAUUGUGCAAAGCAUUUUCAUCAAAAGUUAAUCAUGUCCGCCGACGACGACGUUGAUAACGUUGAUCAACAAGAAUUAGACAGUGUUUUAUGUACUGAACAAGUUACAACCGAUUGUUGAAAUUCAUAUUCCAUUGGGAUCCUACAGUGGCAGUACGGCCUCACGAACGAACGAUUUGUCUCUGAAUCGAGACAGUAAAUAUCAAUAUGCUGUCCUGUUGAAGUGCUAAAAAUCCUACGGAGGCAAUGGUUACCCCAAAGGAUUGGGGAAAAUUGAAAAAACAACACAGUUGAGAGAACGUUGCUAAAUCGAUCAGCGUACAAGAGGAAUCAAAUCAAGUUGAUGAUACCAAUUCACUCCAGGAAACAAAUCAUAUUUAUGGUGCCAAUUUACUCCAGGAAACAAAUCAUAUUUAUGGUGCCAAUUUACUCCAUGAAACAAAUCAUAUUGAUGAUGCCAAUUUACUCCAUGAAACAAAUCAUAUUGAUGAUGCCAAUUUACUCCAGGAAACAAAUCAUAUUGAUGAUGCCAAUUUACUCCAUGAAACAAAUCAUAUUGAUGAUGCCAAUUUACUCCAGGAAACAAAUCCUAUUGAUGAUGCCAAUUUACUCCAGGAAACAAAUGGACUUGAAUUAAUGGACCUUGAGGUCAGCAGUCUCUUUGAGGUCAGCAGGCAGAAUAUGGACUGUCAUGUUGAUUCUAUGUCGGUUCCUCCAGAACUUUGAUGACUGUAAUUUGUUAUGGCAUGUCAAAAAACAAUUUGUCUUUUUACAACCAUUGAAAUUGUUACAAUGAUCAUAAAUAUUACAUCCAUAUGCAAUUGUUUAGCAAACUCAAUAAUUGAGGGAGAACUUAUUCAUACAUGCAUGUUCUGCAGGAUUAAAUUCUUUUUGAAAUCCAUUCUUUUCUAUAGAUUAAUACAUGCAUUCAUAAAUUUGAACCCUCCCCCCUUCCUCAUCAACGAGUUUGCUACGCUCCUGUUAUGGAAUAGACAGAGUAAAUUAGGACAUAAAUAGAAAAUUUUUAUCAUUAGUCCAUAGUAAAAUGUAGACUUACUCAAGUAAGUUAAUUAAGGUUCAAAUAUCGUCACGUCCAGUAUAAUGCCAAUGUCAUUAAUAAGAAAGUACAUACAGGUUAGAGAUAUUAUGGGGAAAAAGAACUUGAUAUUUUUUGUAUUCAAUAAUUUCUAGUCAAAUAAGGAGAGGCACCCUAUCUGUUAUAACCAAAUAAGUUUUUUGUUGUCAAUAAGUUAUUGGAAUUGUCAAGGUUAGCCGAGAAGUUCAUUAAGUAUUCAAAAAGUAACAAAUUCAAUAACCAUUGGGAAUAAUCAAGCAUAGUAACUGUACAUUAACUUUAUUCGUAAGUAUGCUUAACUUUUGGUCAAUCGGCAAUGUUUAAAUUGGUUAUAUUCAACGAAAUUUUUUGUCCCUCGUUUUGUUUCUAAGCACAGUAGAUCGGGGAUUCAUCGUAUAUAUUAAUCACAUUCUGCUUCUCCUAGCCUUGAUAACUUUCUUAUGUAAUCAACACCUUGGUCAUUUGGGCUUUUAAUUCAUGGAAAAAGUGUUUUUGAAAAAAAAUUUUCUAAGAUGUUGCUAUUUCAUACAGCAAGUAACAUAAUGACUUUAAAGUUAUUAAUAAAAUGGCCAUUUUCAGCCGUCUAGAGAUCUGAAUUUUCAAAGUUUUCUCAUGAUUUUGCCUCCUCUGCUCAUUUGCUCAUCUAAUCAUCUAGAGCAUAUAUUUCUUGAACUAAGAAUUCCCUUUGGAAAAGGAAAAUAUCAUGUAUCACAACUUCGUAGAGCAUUGUAAACCUUCGUAAGGGCCUGACGGGAUGUUAAAGUAAAAUAACACGUGACAUCAUCAUUGA